rnacentral:rRNA from 1 species
CCAAUAGCGUAUAUUAAAGUUGUUGCAGUUAAAAAGCUCGUAGUUGAAUUUUAGGCCUGGCCGGGCGGUCCGUCUUUGGCGAGUACUGUUCUGUGUCGGGUCUUACCUUCUGGUGAACCGGCAUGUUCUUUAUUGAGUGUACCGGGGAGUCAGGACCAUUACCUUGAAAAAAUUAGAGUGUUUAAAGCGGGCAUUUGCUUGAAUAGAUUAGCAUGGAAUAAUAGAAUAGGACGUUGGUUCUAUUUUGUUGGUCUAGGACCACCGUAAUGAUUAAUAGGGAUAGUUGGGGGCAUUAGUAUUCAAUUGUCAGAGGUGAAAUUCUUGGAUUUAUUGAAGACUAACUACUGCGAAAGCAUUUGCCAAGGAUGUUUUCAUUAAUCAAGAACGAAAGUUAGGGGAUCGAAGACGAUCAGAUACCGUCGUAGUCUUAACCAUAAACUAUGCCGACUAGGAAUCGGGCGACGUUAUUUUUAUGACUCGCUCGGCGCCUUAUG